GACGAACGCUGGCGGCGUGCUUAACACAUGCAAGUCGAACGGAAAGGCCCUGCUUUUGUGGGGUGCUCGAGUGGCGAACGGGUGAGUAACACGUGAGUAACCUGCCCUUUACGUUGGGAUAACUUCAGGAAACUGGGGCUAAUACCGGAUAGGAGCUCCUGCUGCAUGGUGGGGGUUGGAAAGUUUCGGCGGUUGGUGAUGGACUCGCGGCUUAUCAGCUUGUUGGUGGGGUAGUGGCUUACCAAGGCUUUGACGGGUAGCCGGCCUGAGAGGGUGACCGGCCACAUUGGGACUGAGAUACGGCCCAGACUCCUACGGGAGGCAGCAGUGGGGAAUAUUGCACAAUGGGCGGAAGCCUGAUGCAGCAACGCCGCGUGCGGGAUGACGGCCUUCGGGUUGUAAACCGCUUUCGCCUGUGACGAAGCGUGAGUGACGGUAAUGGGUAAAGAAGCACCGGCUAACUACGUG
rnacentral:rRNA from 1 species